UGCGACGUAUUUACAGUCGCAACAACAGCAGCAACAACAGCCAUCGCAUUUGCACCACGGCAGUGCCGCUGUCGCCGCUCAUAUGUUGGGCGUCGGUAUGGGCCCCGCUGCGGCAAUUGGACGAGUCCCAACAAAGGCGCGACGAUAACCUCGCCAAAUCUAGCUGAAAGUCAUAUCGUGAGCAUGAGCAGCACCAGGUCCCGCAUCCAUUGAAGAAGAAGCCGACGCUGACCAGACGCAUACGGCCGACUGAUAACACCAGCAACAAAGCAAAGCCACUGAUCACCGACAAACCCAAAAUCCACACAUACACAAAACUGAAGCAAACGACCGUUAGCUUCCAGCAGCAACACCAGAAUGAAGAAGACGAUCUCAGCAGCAGUAGCAGCAGCUCUUCCACGUUUUCAUCGUCCUCACAGCAGCAUUCCUCUGUGGACUACGAAGCGGAGGAUGAGAACGAGGACAAACAGCGACAGAGAAGGCACAAAGAUGAGACGGAUAGCCUAAUACAUGUGCAGAACUUUCUGAAAUGUUUUGGUGCCAAUGCCGCGACGGUGAGGCCCCCAACAGCAACUGUUGCAGUUGCCGCUACAGUCUCAGAUAAAUUGAGCGCAACAUCGAGUUCUGAGCUGCGUAGAUGGCGACAAGCUCAUCGCGCAACAACAUCUGCUGCCACCACAA